UACGGAGGGGGCUAGCGUUGUUCGGAAUUACUGGGCGUAAAGCGCACGUAGGCGGCUUUGUAAGUUAGAGGUGAAAGCCCAGGGCUUAACCCUGGAAUUGCCUUUAAGACUGCAUCGCUCGAAUUGUGGAGAGGUGAGUGGAAUUCCCGGUGUAGCGGUGAAAUGCGCAGAUAUCGGGAAGAACACCCGUGGCGAAGGCGGCUCUCUGGGACGGUACUGACGCUGAGACGCGAAAGCGUGGGGAGCGAACAGG
rnacentral:rRNA from 1 species